rnacentral:rRNA from 1 species
UCUGUAGGUGGUUUAUGAAGUUCCCUGUCAAAUAUCAGGGCUCAACCUUGAGAAGGCAGUGAAGUACUCAUACACUAGAGUGCGGUAGGGGUAGAGGGAACUCCGCGUGGAGCGGUGAAAUGCGUAGAGAUGCGGAGGAACACCAGUGGCGAAGGCGCUCUACUGGGCCGUCACUGACACUGAGAGACGAAAGCUAAGGGAGUGAAAA